UAACACGUAGGGGGCGAGCGUUGUCCGGAUUUAUUGGGCGUAAAGAGCUCGUAGGCGGCUCGGUAAGUCGGGUGUGAAACCUCCAGGCUCAACCUGGAGACGCCACCCGAUACUGCCGUGGCUAGAGUCCGGUAGAGGAGCGUAGAAUUCCUGGUGUAGCGGUGAAAUGCGCAGAUAUCAGGAGGAAUACCAGCGGCGAAGGCGGCGCUCUGGGCCGGUACUGACGCUGAGGAGCGAAAGCGUGGGGAGCAAACAGGAUUAGAUACCCUGGUAGUCCACGCCGUAAACGUUGGGCACUAGGUGUGGGGCCUUUUCAACGGGUUCCGUGCCGUAGCUAACGCAUUAAGUGCCCCGCCUGGGGAGUACGGCCGCAAGGCUA
rnacentral:rRNA from 1 species